UGACCGCUGGCGGCGUGCCUAAUACAUGCAAGUCGAGCGAACAGACGAGAGUGCUUGCACUCUCUGACGUUAGCGGCGGACGGGUGAGUAACACGUGGGUAACCUACCUAUAAGACUGGGAUAACUUCGGGAAACCGGAGCUAAUACCGGAUAAUAUUUAGCUUCGCAUGAAGCAAUAGUGAAAGACGGUUCUGCUGUCACUUAUAGAUGGACCCGCGGUGUAUUAGCUAGUUGGUGAGGUAACGGCUCACCAAGGCAACGAUACAUAGCCGACCUGAGAGGGUGAUCGGCCACACUGGGACUGAGACACGGCCCAGACUCCUACGGGAGGCAGCAGUAGGGAAUCUUCCGCAAUGGACGAAAGUCUGACGGAGCAAUGCCGCGUGAGUGAAGAAGGUUUUCGGAUCGUAAAACUCUGUUGUAAGGGAAGAACAAGUACGUUAGUAACUGAACGUACCUUGACGGUACCUUACCAGAAAGCCACGGCUAACUACGUG
rnacentral:rRNA from 1 species